rnacentral:rRNA from 1 species
GCAUAUCAAUAAGCGGAGGAAAAGAAACCAACAGGGAUUGCCCUAGUAACGGCGAGUGAAGCGGCAACAGCUCAAAUUUGAAAUCUGGCCUCACGGUCCGAGUUGUAAUUUGUAGAGGAUGCUUCUGGCGACGUGCCUUCCGAGUUCCCUGGAACGGGACGCCAUAGAGGGUGAGAGCCCCGUCCGGUCGUGCACCUAGCCUCUGUGAAGCUCCUUCGACGAGUCGAGUAGUUUGGGAAUGCUGCUCUAAAUGGGAGGUAUACGUCUUCUAAAGCUAAAUACCGGCCAGAGACCGAUAGCGCACAAGUAGAGUGAUCGAAAGAUGAAAAGCACUUUGAAAAGAGGGUUAAAUAGUACGUGAAAUUGCUGAAAGGGAAGCGCUUAUGACCAGACUUGGGCUCGGUGAAUCAUCCGGCGUUCUCGCCGGUGCACUUUGCCGUCCCAGGCCAGCAUCAGUUCGCGCCGGGGGACAAAGGCUUCGGGAAUGUAGCUCCCUCGGGAGUGUUAUAGCCCGUUGCGUAAUACCCUGGCGUGGACUGAGGUCCGCGCUCUGCAAGGAUGCUGGCGUAAUGGUCAUCAGUGACCCGUCUUGAAACACGGACCAAGGAGUCGUCUUCGUAUGCGAGUGUUCGGGUGUCAAACCCCUACGCGUAAUGAAAGUGAACGUAGGAGAGAGCUUCGGCGCAUCUCCGACCGAUCCUGAUGUUCUCGGAUGGAUUUGAGUAAGAGCAUACGGGGCCGGACCCGAAAGAAGGUGAACUAUGCCUGUAUAGGGUGAAGCCAGAGGAAACUCUGGUGGAGGCUCGCAGCGGUUCUGACGUGCAAAUCGAUCGUCAAAUAUGGGCAUGGGGGCGAAAGACUAAUCGAACCUUCUAGUAGCUGGUUUCCGCCGAAG